AAACCCUUAUGACUCUCAUUCUGCAACUACUGAAAUAAGUUCCAGUCAAACAACCAGAGGCGGAUUCGUUGGAAUGGGAUAUCCUUUUAUUUUAAAAUUGUAUGUACAAAUGUGCUGAAUAAAUGAGAUUGAUUUCACAUA